GACGAACCGUCCUAACGUUGUUCGGAAUCACUGGGCUUAAAGGGCGCGUAGGCGGCUUGCCAAGUCAGGGGUGAGAUCCUGCAGCUUAACUGUAGAAGGGCCUUUGAUACUGGCGAGCUCGAGGGAGGUAGGGGUAUGUGGAACUUCCGGUGGAGCGGUGAAAUGCGUUGAUAUCGGAAGGAACGCCGGUGGCGAAAGCGACGUACUGGACCUCUUCUGACGCUGAGGCGCGAAAGCUAGGGGAGCAAACGGG
rnacentral:rRNA from 1 species